rnacentral:rRNA from 1 species
UACGGAGGGGGCUAGCGUUGUUCGGAAUUACUGGGCGUAAAGCGCAUGUAGGCGGCUAUUCAAGUCAGAGGUGAAAGCCCGGGGCUCAACCCCGGAAUUGCCUUUGAAACUAGAUAGCUUGAAUCUGGGAGAGGUGAGUGGAAUUCCGAGUGUAGAGGUGAAAUUCGUAGAUAUUCGGAAGAACACCAGUGGCGAAGGCGGCUCACUGGACCAGUAUUGACGCUGAGAUGCGAAAGCGUGGGGAGCAAACAGG